UACAGAGGUCCCAAGCGUUGUUCGGAUUCACUGGGCGUAAAGGGUGCGUAGGUGGCAGGGUAAGUUUGAUGUGAAAUCUCCGAGCUCAACUCGGAAACUGCAUUGAAUACUAUCCUGCUUGAGGAUUGGAGGGGAGACUGGAAUUCUCGGUGUAGCAGUGAAAUGCGUAGAUAUCGAGAGGAACACCGGUGGCGAAGGCGGGUCUCUGGGCAGUAACUGACGCUGAGGAGCGAAAGCGUGGGGAGCGAACAGG
rnacentral:rRNA from 1 species